UCUUUGUGUUGAGAAGCUUAUUGAGUUGGUGACAUAUUGGAUAGAGACAGAGUGGAAAGUGAUAGUUGAGCAUUGUUUUGAUUUUAUUCAAUUGAAAUUAGUUUCUCCAAAGUACAGGAGACGGAGGAGGUAGAUUAUAUAUUGUUUUCUUGGUUUUAGAACUUUAUUUUAGUUAGCAAGACAAAUUGAAAUAAAUUGUACUAACUUUAGUAAGAAGUGCUAACAUUAGCUUGCUACAAGGUCGCAGUUUUCUCCGCCAGGCUGGCUAGCUAAUGCUAACAACAAUGUAUUGGAUUUAUUGUUUAAGAACCCCUUUAAUUUCCCACAUCAGAUUCAAGCAUGUAAUGGACGAACAUCUGCAUAUUCAAACUGCGCAACACAAGGAUAAGCUAAGUCCUCUUCUGUUCCCUGAUUAAGAGGUGAUGACCACUCCACUCCACUACCAUUGUCAACUCUCUCCUGACAUGAACUGAAGCCACGUCUCAUGUGCCUUGCGCAUCCACUGGCACAUUGAAUGUUUCCUCUCCAAGCUCUGAGUAGACCUGUCAAUUUUCUCUAAUUACUUCAAAUCCUGUCCUGCCCUCAGUGGAAGAGUUGAGCUCUUCUCCAAACCCCUGUCCUGCACUGAAGCCUCUGAACACCUCAACCCCUGUCCUGCACUGAAGCCUCAACACCUCAACCCCUGUCCUGCACUGAAGCCUCUGAACACCUCAACCCCUGUCCUGCACUGAAACAUCAACACCUCAACCCCUGUCCUGCACUGAAGCAUCAACACCUCAACCUCUGUCCUGCACUAAAGUCAAGCCUCUGAACACAUCUGAAGGAAAAUAAUAUAAAGAAUGAUAGUAAAAAGCUCUGGAGCACCUUAAAUAAAAUGUUUGGCAAAAAGGCAAACUC